GCUUGCCCUCUCUUUGUCUCUUUUUUUCUCUUCAUGUCUCUUUUAAUCUCUCUCACAUCACCGUCUUUCCGCUUCCAGCUGCUCCUCCCUCCCCCAACUCUUGCCCAUGACACUGUUCCCAGGGAACCUGACUGUGUGGCUUUGAGCCUGUUUCUGCUCCCUUCUAUGUACCAGGGGGUUGCUGGGAGCGUCCCCCACUGACAGGCCCCCUCUGGGGUAUGGGGGUGCAGUUAGUGCAAGACAGGCCAUGGUUUGGGGUCAGUUCCAGCCCUGUCACCAACCUUAUGCAACUCCUUUUCUCCUCCAAGUCUCGUCUCUUCCUCUGUGUGUGGAGUGGGCACCCAUGAAGAACAUGGCCUCCACAAAUGCCCUGCCCCCCAGAACCAGAGCCACGGAACCCUUUGAGGGAUGCAUAAGAACUGUAUUCACCUUUGAAAAUGGUCCCCCCUCCAAAUCCUACUGCCUGACCUCCUGCCCAAAGCUCUCAGACUGUCCCCCUCCCAGAAUAGAGCAGAGCAGAGCAGGCCUAGGGAUGUCCUGACUUGGACUGACUCCAAAAUGUCACCAGUGGACCAAAGCAUUCCCAGUUAACCUUGGCCUUGUAGGGUGAGAGGUCACAGAAAUAAGCGAGACCAGGAGUCAGACAACCUAGGUCCUAAUCCCCGCUCUACUUCAUGCCUGACUGAGGGUGUUGGAGAAGUCCCUUUACCUCUCCUGGCCUCAUUAUCCCUCAUCAGGGAACUGGAGCUAAUUGCUGAUUUGUGCUUGAAAUUAAAGAAAGGGAGGUUACCACAGAAACUGGCGCUAAGGUGGUAUUUUGCUGAAUUCAUGGAUCGGCUAAUUUAUGGACCACAGACUGUCUGCCCCACCCAGGCCCUUUCUACUUAGGGGGAAACUGAGGCUGGGAGAAGGGAGGCAACCUGCCCAGGGUUGGCGGCGAGUGGCAGCAAUGCCCAGACUUGAAUUCCAGCCCGACGUUUAAGUUCCUCAAUGCAGGCUAUCAAAGACAGCCGAUUCCAGAAGGGAGAUCAAAGGCCUGCUUCCUUAUUUACAAAGAGAAGUCCUCAUUAAAACAUGGCCAACGGCUGAGGCGGCUAUGGAGAUAGGCCACGUGUGCGCCAACAGAGAAUUCACCGUCCCAGACUGUGCUGAGCAGCAGGGGAGCUGUUCAGUACUGUUCCAGACAUGAGGGACACAGCAGCGACAAAACCAGAUGGCAUCUGGCCUUACGGAGCAGAUCCCUUGAGAAGGAUGAAGAAUAAAUCCAUAAAUAAAUACGAUCAUGUCUCAUUUCAGAUGGUUAUCAGUCUUCCAGAGCUGCCGCAAUAAGAUAACACAAACCAGCUUCCGGUGGCCCUGGCGUUCCUUGGCUGGUGGUGGAAUCGUUCAUAUCUCUGCCUCUGUCUUCACAUGGCCUCUUCCCUGUGUCUGAUGACAUCACUUGAGAACCUGGAUCCAGCCACACCUGAAGUUCACUUCUGGUCAUUUCAAUGAUGUGCAUCCAUAAACUCCAUUUAUUCACU